UAUAUUUUGUCAGGUGUACUUGCGGGAAUUGCGACAGAAUGCCCACGGAAGCAGAGAAUCUGUGCUGCAAGGAGACUCCUCCGGUAAUGAUCUAACUGGCGUUGGUUGAUGCAAGUUUGUUGACAAAGGUUACUCAUUUUGUUUUCACGUGUCACACACAUGCGUGCUGCAAGGAGAUUCUUAUUGUAAUGAGAACUAUGGCAUGGCUUUGGUUGAUAUAAGUUUGUUGGCAUAGGUUACUCAAAUUGUUUACAUUCACGUAUGACUGCUCAGGUGGUUAGAAGAAUGGGCGACACCGGUACCCCUGUUGCCUGUAUGACCCUCCACCCAGGAUUAGAACCAGUCUGCCUCAACAUAUACUCCCUUCAAAAUGCACUAAAUAUUUAUAGAGCCGACUAUGGCCCCCUGCGAGAGAGAGGAUAUGAAAGGUAAGAUAAACCAUCUUUAGCCUAAAAGAAAGAAAACAACCUGAUGAAACUCCUAAAGCCAAUAUAGAAAAAACGGGUCCAUUUUCAACAAAUAGCUUAUUUUAUUUACAUACAGUAAUUUUCAAGUCUAAUAAAAUAAUGCAAACACAAAAGAAGAAUAUCCAAACUAUGUACAGAAUUUACAAUAUCUUUUUUGCCAGGCGAUGCAGACAUCUGGCCUACAGAUCCUUUGUCAGCUGGUGCUGGGGUUAUUUAGGUAGAAAAGUCCGAGUUGUUAUUCCGGCUUGUGUUGUCCUACGGAUCCGAAGAGAGUUCCCAGACACAGAAGGCCAAUAUGUCGGCUUUAGGGCUGCCCUUGCCUAAAGCGAGAUGUGUAUGCAGCCACAGCUUCUGUCAGUGGAGGAUGGUAGAAUGCUGAGGACAGGGCAUCAGGAACAGGGAUUUUUUUGGAGCUCCUCCAUGUAAGGCAGGGGGGUUGGGGACUAUCUCUUCAAACACCCCAGCAAUCAGGUUGUGGACGUAGCCUGGAAGAAAAUGUUCAAUGUAAAUAUGUACAUAAUGUCUCCUCGAUAUUAAACAGUUUUAUUUGUCUUUCAAGAAUGGCAAUAAAUAGUUUGUGUUUGAGUUA